rnacentral:rRNA from 1 species
UGGGGAAUAUUGGGCAAUGGGCGCAAGCCUGACCCAGCAACGCCGCGUGAGGGAAGAAGGUUUUCGGAUUGUAAACCUCUGUCGCAAGGGACGAAACAAAUGACGGUACCUUGUGAGGAAGCCCCGGCUAACUACGUGCCAGCAGCCGCGGUAAUACGUAGGGGGCGAGCGUUGUCCGGAAUUACUGGGCGUAAAGGGUGCGUAGGCGGUUGCUUAAGUUGGAUGUGAAAUACCCGGGCUUAACUUGGGGGGUGCAUCUAAUACUGGGAGGCUAGAGUGCAGGAGAGGGAAGCGGAAUUCCUAGUGUAGCGGUGAAAUGCGUAGAUAUUAGGAGGAACACCAGUGGCGAAGGCGGCUUUCUGGACUGUAACUGACACUGAGGCACGAAAGCGUGGGGAGCAAACA